UGGGGAAUUUUGCACAAUGGAGGAAACUCUGAUGCAGCGACGCCGCGUGAGUGAUGAAGAUCUUCGGAUUGUAAAACUCUGUCCUUAGUGAAGAUAAUGACAGUAACUAAGAAGCAAGCCCUGGCUAAAUACGUGCCAGCAGCCGCGGUAAUACGUAUGGGGCAAGCGUUGUCCGGAAAUAUUGGGCGUAAAGGGUACGUAGGCGGUUUAAUAAGUCCUAAUUAAAAGGCUAUGGCUCAACCAUAGUAUGGUUAGGAAACUGUUUAACUUGAGUAGAUGAGGGGAAAGUGGAAUUCCAUGUGUGGCGGUGAAAUGCGUAGAUAUAUGGAGGAACACCAAUGGCGAAGGAAACUUUCUGGAAUCAAACUGACGCUGAGGUACGAAGGCGUGGGGAGCAAACAGG
rnacentral:rRNA from 1 species